rnacentral:rRNA from 1 species
UACGGAGGGUGCAAGCGUUAUCCGGAUUCACUGGGUUUAAAGGGUGCGUAGGUGGGCAGGUAAGUCUGUGGUGAAAUCUCUGGGCUUAACCCAGAAACUGCCGUUGAUACUAUCUGUCUUGAAUAUAGUGGAGGUGAGCGGAAUAUGUCAUGUAGCGGUGAAAUGCUUAGAUAUGACAUAGAACACCCAUUGCGAAGGCAGCUCGCUACACUAUCAUUGACACUGAGGCACGAAAGCGUGGGGAUCAAACAGG